rnacentral:rRNA from 1 species
CCUACGGGGGGCUGCAGUGGGGAAUAUUGCACAAUGGGCGCAAGCCUGAUGCAGCCAUGCCGCGUGUGUGAAGAAGGCCUUCGGGUUGUAAAGCACUUUCAGCGGGGAGGAAGGCGGUGAGGUUAAUAACCUCAUCGAUUGACGUUACCCGCAGAAGAAGCACCGGCUAACUCCGUGCCAGCAGCCGCGGUAAUACGGAGGGUGCAAGCGUUAAUCGGAAUUACUGGGCGUAAAGCGCACGCAGGCGGUCUGUCAAGUCGGAUGUGAAAUCCCCGGGCUCAACCUGGGAACUGCAUUCGAAACUGGCAGGCUAGAGUCUUGUAGAGGGGGGUAGAAUUCCAGGUGUAGCGGUGAAAUGCGUAGAGAUCUGGAGGAAUAUCGGUGGCGAAGGCGGCCCCCUGGACAAAGACUGACGCUCAGGUGCGAAAGCGUGGGGAGCAAACAGGAUUAGAUACCCUAGUAGUC